rnacentral:lncRNA from 1 species
UUUGUCUUACAUUCUACAUUCUGUCUUACAUUCUUCAUUGUGAUAUGCAUUGUGAUGACAACCAUACAUUGUGUCUUACAUUGUAGAGAAAACCUAAAAAAGGACAUGUGCCAACUGCAACUGAUAUGCCAACUGCAAAUGAUAUGCCAACUGCAUCUGAUAUGCCUGCCCCAACUGCAACUGAUAUGACUGUUCCAACAAAUGUGCCUGUUCCAACUGAUCCACAGCCUCCAACUGAUAUGCCUGUUCCAACUAUUAUGAGUCAAACAGGAUCUAGUGUGGCUGCCUCAAUCACAAAACAAUCCAGAAAAAGGGUUGAAAAAAAACCUAUCAUCAAAAGAAGGCAAAGUGAGAGGAUCAAGUUGAGUUGGUUUAAAAGACCCAUAACAGGUGAAGGAAUAUCUAGUGACAAACCAAUUACCCUACCAGAAAAUGAAGACAUACCCACUUCAAAAUGAG